rnacentral:rRNA from 1 species
UACGUAGGGAGCAAGCGUUGUUCGGAUUUACUGGGCGUAAAGGGCGCGUAGGCGGCGCGGUAAGUCACUUGUGAAAUCUCUGAGCUUAACUCAGAACGGCCAAGUGAUACUGCAGUGCUAGAGUGCAGAAGGGGCAAUCGGAAUUCUUGGUGUAGCGGUGAAAUGCGUAGAUACCAAGAGGAACACCUGAGGUGAAGACGGGUUGCUAGGCUGACACUGACGCUGAGGCGCGAAAGCCAGGGGAGCAAACGGG